UGGGGAAUUUUCCGCAAUGGGCGAAAGCCUGACGGAGCAAUACCGCGUGAGGGAGGAAGGCUCUUGGGUUGUAAACCUCUUUUCUCAGGGAAGAACAGAAUGACGGUACCUGAGGAAUAAGCAUCGGCUAACUCCGUGCCAGCAGCCGCGGUAAUACGGAGGAUGCAAGCGUUAUCCGGAAUGAUUGGGCGUAAAGGGUCCGCAGGUGGCAUUGUAAGUCUGCUGUUAAAGAGUUUGGCUCAACCAAAUAAGAGCAGUGGAAACUACAAAGCUAGAGUGUGGUCGGGGCAGAGGGAAUUCCUGGUGUAGCGGUGAAAUGCGUAGAUAUCAGGAAGAACACCAGUGGCGAAGGCGCUCUGCUAG
rnacentral:rRNA from 1 species